AUGAACGCUAGCGGCAGGCCUAACACAUGCAAGCCGAGGGGUAGCAGUCCUGCCUUCGGGCGGGAGCUGACGACCGGCGCACGGGUGAGUAACGCGUAUACAAUCUGCCUAUUACUAAGAGAUAGCCCAGAGAAAUUUGGAUUAAUAUUUUAUGGCAUUACGACUUGGCAUCGAGUUGUAAUUAAAGGUUACGGUAAUAGAUGAGUAUGCGUCCUAUUAGCUUGAUGGUAAGGUAACGGCUUACCAUGGCUACGAUAGGUAGGGGUCCUGAGAGGGAGAUCCCCCACACUGGUACUGAGACACGGACCAGACUCCUACGGGAGGCAGCAGUGAGGAAUAUUGGACAAUGGGAGCAAUCCUGAUCCAGCCAUGCCGCGUGCAGGAAGACUGCCCUAUGGGUUGUAAACUGCUUUUAUACAGGAAGAAAAAGCCCGACGUGUCGGGUGUUGACGGUACUGUAAGAAUAAGGAUCGGCUAACUCCGUGCCAGCAGCCGCGGUAAUACGGAGGAUCCAAGCGUUAUCCGGAAUCAUUGGGUUUAAAGGGUCCGUAGGCGGGACAAUAAGUCAGUGGUGAAAGUCUGCAGCUCAACUGUAGAAUUGCCAUUGAUACUGUUGUUCUUGAGUGCUUGUGAAGUGGUU
rnacentral:rRNA from 1 species